rnacentral:lncRNA from 1 species
UUGGGUAUAAGAUAACCCCAGCCAAAGUUCGUAAAAGGCUGACCCUUCCAGGACUCUUCCGGCUUCUGACCUUGUGCGGCAUCUUUCUGAACUCCCCCGACCAUUUGAGCUCCUCCAUUCAUCUACCUGGCUGCUCCAAAUACUUUUUGAGCUUCAAUAUCAAUCAAUUUUCUAUAGUGAUCGACUAUUCUCCGAAUCUCUUCCAUACUUCUUCCGGCCACG